ACCCUAUCGAUAUUGUCUGCUGUGUAAAUAGCUCUGAGUAGUGCAAUAUUGCUUAUAGGGUUU
rnacentral:pre_miRNA from 1 species